rnacentral:rRNA from 1 species
UUUAAAGGACGCAGUAACCUGACUGUGAUAAUGUAGCAUAAUCAUUCGCCAUUUAAUUGAUGGAUAGUAUGAAUGGUUGAACGAAUUCUUCACUGUCUUAAAAAGAGAAUUCAUGAAAUUGAAAUAAUAGUAAAGAUGCUAUUUAAUAUUGUAAGACGAAAAGACCCUAUAGAGCUUAACUACAGACUUUUUUUUAACCAAAGAAUAAAUUCUAAAUAAAAGAAAGUUAGGUAGUUUAGUUGGGGCGACUAUCUUCUAAAAAUAACGAAGACAAGCAAAUAUUAAUAAUUAAUUUAUUGUAUAAUUAAUAUAUUUAACAAUUACAAAAGUAGGCUAUAAUGACCCGUUAAAAUUUAAAAAUAAAUAUAACGAUUAAUAAAUAAAAGCUACCUUAGGGAUAACAGGAUAAUUUUGUUUUAGAGAUCUUAUCGAAAACAAAGUUUGUCACCUCUAU